UGCGUAGGGGGCUAGCGUUGUCCGGAAUCAUUGGGCGUAAAGAGCGUGUAGGCGGUCCGGUAAGUCCGCUGUGAAAGUCGGGGGCUCAACCCUCGAAUGCCGGUGGAUACUGUCGGGCUAGAGUGCGGAAGAGGCGAGUGGAAUUCCUGGUGUAGCGGUGAAAUGCGCAGAUAUCAGGAGGAACACCUAUUGCGAAGGCAGCUCGCUGGGACGUUACUGACGCUGAGACGCGAAAGCGUGGGGAGCAAACAGG
rnacentral:rRNA from 1 species